ensembl:lncRNA
CAAAAACCGUCAAUAUUGUGUCUAAAACAGCAAGACAAACACAACUGGAAAGGGAGGGCUUCGCAUCGCGGCUGUCUGUCUGUCUGUGUCUGUGAUGUGCCGAUCAAUGUGUGCUACACUGCUGUGCUGCUCAGACGCGGAGGGAGAAAGCCAUAAGAACAACAAAAAAAAAACCUCCCCAGGAAAAAAAGGGCACUUUCCCUCGAGGAAGAAAAAGGGGAGUCCUGAAGCCUCACAAAAUGCUGGCUGUCCAUGCCUAUGCUCCAAAAGACCGUGGGGGCGUCCAACUACAUCGCCCUGGGCUUGUUCAGAUCGAAGAAGGAGAGGAUCUACUUCACUUCUCCUUAAUGCUCCAGCUUGUGUUU